UUGUCACGAUGUUCUUCAGGUGGCCGCAAGGCCAUAAUCGGGAAUCCGGUGCAAAACCGGAGCGGUCCCGCCGCUGUGAUCCCCCUAUGCGCCCGUUUCCAACACGCCACUGCCCCACUGGGGUGGGAAGGCGGAACCGGGUGGGGAGAGCCAGAAGACCGGCCUGAAGCUAUUCCUCUCC
rnacentral:ncRNA from 2 species